GAGAGUAUAGCUCAGUGGUAGAGUUCAUGCCUAGUAUGCACGAGGUCCUGGGUUCAAUCCCCAGUACCUCCA
rfam:Camelus ferus unplaced genomic scaffold scaffold948, whole genome shotgun sequence.